rnacentral:rRNA from 1 species
AGGGAAUUUUCGUCAAUGGGCGCAAGCCUGAACGAGCAAUGCCGCGUGAGCGAAGAAGGUCUUCGGAUCGUAAAACUCUGUUGCGGGGGAAAAAGGAAGGGAAGAGGAAAUGCUUUUCUUUUGAUGGUACCCCGCCAGAAAGUCACGGCUAACUACGUGCCAGCAGCCGCGGUAAUACGUAGGUGGCAAGCGUUAUCCGGAAUGAUUGGGCGUAAAGGGUGCGCAGGCUGCGCGUCAAGUCUGAAGUGAAAGGUACGGGCUUAACCGGUACAGGCUUUGGAAACUGGCACGCUAGAGGACAGGAGAGGGCGGUGGAACUCCAUGUGUAGCGGUAAAAUGCGUAGAUAUAUGGAAGAACACCAGUUGCGAAGGCGACCGCCUGGACUGUUGCUGACGCUCAGGCACGAAAGCGUGGGGAGCAAAUA